GUUUAGCUUCUGGUCCUCUUGUGAAUGGAUAGAAAUGCUUUUUAGCCAUUGUAAUUCAAGAAUCCUCAGUCAAGAAGGAGACGGUGCCUCUAGAAAUAAGAUUAACAGCUAGUGAGCUUCACAAGAGGGCUUGAGGAUUGAUUAAUACACUGGGACUGCUCGAUAGCAUAGAAGUGCUACAUAUCAGCUUACCCAGGGACCUGCCAAUGCUGCAUGAGAUUAGAGCGUGAGCCUGUGAUCCUCAGAUAUACAAUCUUUCUUGAAGUGUUACAUGCUAGACCUUGUAAUAGAGUAAUUGCAGAUGAAGAUGUAUGGAGGACUAGUGACACAGGAUCCUUCUCUGGCUUCCAACUGCUGUGAUCAGCUGACCCCAGGGAGACAGGGAGUUUCCAUCCUGACCAUAGGAACUCCAGCUCUACUAGAUUUUGAUGCUGGCCGUGUCAUGACACUACUUUCUCCAGAGGAUUAAUUUAAGUCCAGUAAAGCAGAAAGGAAUCCCCUUGAAAGUGAUGAAGUGAACAAGAAGUGAAAUUGAUUUAUGCAAAUCCUGAGUUACUCAUCCAGCAAGCAGCCAUGUGAGGCAGGCAAAUCUUUGGACACACAGCCACUGUGCAGAUUAUACUAAAAAUUGGCAGCUGGUGAAUUAGGUUGCUAAAGACAGCAUUAAUCUGUUGGUGAUGUAAGUAUUCCCAGCUAAGAGUGUUGUGUCAGUAAACUUAAUCUGUAAUUA